CUAGGUAACUCUGACCAGCGGAAGCAGGCAUGGCCUUCCGCGUCGGAGGAAGCUGGGGUCAGCCCGCGUCCCGGAGUGCAGCCCCGACGGUGAGGGCUGAGCCGGCCUUUGAGUUGGCUGAUUGGGGAGACGUCCCUGGAGGGGCCGAACCCGCAGCAAGUGGGGUGGGUGAGCCCUGCGUGACCUUCCUGCAGCCCGUCCCGUGGGCCGCCCCACCUCCGCCUCCGCAGCGGGGCCGAGUGAAGGAAGACCUGCUGGAACUGAUGUUGCUGCAGAACGCGCAGAUGCACCAGCUGCUGCUGAGUCGCCUGGUGGCAGCAGCGCUCCACCCGGGGCCAGCUCCGCCCCGCCCGCAGGUCUACCUGGAGGGUCAACAAGAAGAGUAUGAGGAGGAGGAGGAGAUGCAAGCCCAGGAGGAAGGACCUUUGGUGUUCCACCACCACUACCUCCCCUGGCCGAUGCCCAGUGUGGGUCCCCUGCUCUCCUGGCCAGUCCCUUUUCUUUCCCCGCCCCCACAUCAGGCUUACUUGCAGGACACGUCCAGGAUUCAGCACGGCCCUCCUGCCCCUGGGAGAAGAGGGUCGUAAGUGAGGCUGGGGGUAUCUGGGCAUUGCCAGGGCCCUGCUCUGGGGCUGGGCUGGAAGAGCUCACCAGGGGCUGGGGUGGGGUGGAGAUACUUGUGGGUGAGACCCCAGAGACCACUUCUUAUGGGGGGGGGUCUUUCUUUUCUCCAUCUCAGGAGAGCCAUCCCCCCACCGCCACCCCCCAGUGCCACAGGGACUGUGGGUGCGGAUGUACCCCCGGCUUCAGACUACUAUGAUGCUGA